rnacentral:tRNA from 1 species
GGGCCCGUAGCUCAGCUGGAUAGAGCGGCCGCCUCCUAAGCGGCAGGCCGGGGGGUCGAAUCCCUCCCGGCCCGCCA